rnacentral:tRNA from 1 species
GGGCAUAGCUCAGUGGUUAGAGCAGGUGGAAGGUCCCAGACUCAAUCCCUGGUGUCAGGCG